CUGGUGCAGGUAUACAGGGAGAGGACAGGCCCCCUGGUGUAGGUAUAUAGGGAGAGGACAGGCCCCCUGGUGCAGGUAUACAGGGAGAGGACAGGCCCCCUGGUGCAGGUAUACAGGGAGAGGACAGGCCCCCUGGUGCAGGUAUACAGGGAGAGGACAGGCCCCUGGUGCAGGUAUACAGGGAGAGGACAGGCCCCCUGGUGUAGGUAUACAGGGAGAGGACAGGCCCCCUGGUGCAGGUAUAUAUUUAGAGGACAGGCCCCCUGGUGCAGGUAUAUAUUUAGAGGACAGGCUGGUCUAGUCGGUCAGUGUUUGAGUUGUUAGG
ensembl:lncRNA